rnacentral:rRNA from 1 species
AACGCGAAGAACCUUACCCAGGCUCGAAAUGUAGAGGACAGAGUCAGAAAUGACUUCUCUCGAAAGGGUCUCUAUAUAGGUGCUGCAUGGCUGUCGUCAGCUCGUGCCGUGAGGUGUUGGGUUAAGUCCCGCAACGAGCGCAACCCUUAUCGUUAGUUGCCAGCGAGUCAAGUCGGGAACUCUAACGAGACUGCCUGGGUUAACCAGGAGGAAGGUGAGGAUGACGUCAAGUCCGCAUGGCCUUUAUGUCUGGGGCUACACACGUGCUACAAUGGCCGGUACAGAAGGCAGCGAAGCCGCGAGGUGGAGCAAAUCCUAAAAAGCCGGUCUCAGUUCGGAUUGCAGUCUGCAACUCGGCUGCAUGAAGUUGGAAUUGCUAGUAAUGGCAGGUCAGCAACACUGCCGUGAAUACGUUCCCGGGCCUUGUACACACCGCAUAC